GACGAACGCUGGCGGCGUGCCUAAUACAUGCAAGUCGAGCGAAUCUUUUGGGAGCUUGCUCCCUUAAGAUUAGCGGCGGACGGGUGAGUAACACGUGGGUAACCUGCCUGUAAGACUGGGAUAACUUCGGGAAACCGGAGCUAAUACCGGAUAGGUUCUUUUCUCGCAUGAGGGAAGAUGGAAAGAUGGUUCUGCUAUCACUUACAGAUGGACCCGCGGCGCAUUAGCUAGUUGGUGAGGUAACGGCUCACCAAGGCGACGAUGCGUAGCCGACCUGAGAGGGUGAUCGGCCACACUGGGACUGAGACACGGCCCAGACUCCUACGGGAGGCAGCAGUAGGGAAUCUUCCGCAAUGGACGAAAGUCUGACGGAGCAACGCCGCGUGAGCGAAGAAGGCCUUCGGGUCGUAAAGCUCUGUUGUUAGGGAAGAACAAGUACGAGAGUAACUGCUCGUACCUUGACGGUACCUAACCAGAAAGCCACGGCUAACUACGUGCCAGCCGCCGCAGUAAAAC
rnacentral:rRNA from 1 species